ensembl:lincRNA Gm4221 uncharacterized LOC110332854
CCAGGGUGAAGUGGCAAGGCAGCCUCUCUCCUUCUCUACUCAGACCUGUGAGGGAUGCACCUGAUCUACUUUCAAGCCUGGGUUUUCCCUUCUUGAUUAAGCUACUCUCCAAACACCCUCCUAGAGCUACAUCUCCUAGGCAAUUCCAAACCCCAUCCACUUGACAACCAAGAUUGGCCAGCAAAGAUGGUAAAUUGUAUGCUGUGUUUAUUUUACCACGGUGCUAUUCUGUUUUGGUUUUGUACAUGGGAAAAACCUGUUUUCCUUGAAGGUUGGGAGACUGUCUCACUGUUUGAUAUGUGAGUGCACUGUCACUGUCUUCAGGCACACAGAAAAAGGGCAUCAGAUCCCAUUACAGAUGGUUGUGAGCUACCAUGUGGUUGCUGGGAACUGAACUCAGGACCUCUGGAAGAGCAGUCAGUGCUCCUAACUGCUGAACCAUCUCUCCAGCCCACUUUCCAUGCUUUAUAGCAGGUUGUCACAGAAAUGAUGCUUUUAGCAUAUGAAGUAAACUAAAGGUAGAACAUAGACUUGCUCCUUCUUGUAGUUCUACAUUUCAGAUUUAUCAAGCUCCUUGAUGAAAAAGCAGAAGUCAGUAGUGUGUUUACUUGCUUCAAGGGACAGAUGAUGUGAGAGUUUAAGAACACAGGAUUUCCCCACCCCAAUAACUAAAUACUUUAUUGAAUAACUACAAUACCAACAAAAUGUAUUCAAAUUUUCUCUAAAAAAAAAAAAAUCAAUUUAAAGGCCUUUCUAGUCAGGCUAAUGACAAACACAAUAAAGGCAGAUAUGCUAGUUUAACAUAAUUGGCUGAUUUUAUACAACACUUAAUUCUUUUAGUCCACAAGUUUAUUAUUAAAUGAUCCAGGAAUUAAAUUAGGUCAGCCACAUUCAUGGGCAUUUCCUCCACUGUAGUAUUGUAGAAAGUCUCAAUGUCACAAAGAAUCCUCUUGUCUUCUUCAGUAACAAAGUUUACUGAAGUAACAUGGUAAUGAAGUCACACACCUUUCCUCCCAAAUCCACCCCCUCUGCCAAUUCCACUCGCUCUUCAUUCAAACACUAUGCUGUUUCUCUUAUGAUUCCGCCUCCUAAAUUACGUCAACGCCAUUUCUGAGUGCCAUCUCGUCAUCAACUGCCCUAUCGACUCCUGUGAAUACAGUUUUCGCAAUUGGUAGGUAGAUCGUAGUUUAUAACCAAGGAUACUUGUUGCAUGUCAAUCCCAGGAGUCAACAACUCAGUAGUGAUUAGAACAAGGCUUGACCCUGAUCGGAAGAACAUGGGAUCUUGCCAGAGCUAAAUACUUUCUCUAAUUCCAUUUUGGACAAAGACAGUUAAGAUGCCUGUUAAAAAAAACUACCCAAAGCAAAGAACAGUGAAUCCUGGUGUUUACCAUGGAAAAAAGCAUUUGGGGAAAUCUAAGCUCUCAAUUUAAAAACUAUGUUCUCCUGAGAGAAUCAUUUUUUAUGAUAUUCUGCCUUGACUUAUUAAUCUAUAAACAUGGGUGAUUCAUUUUUAUACAGAAAAGCAAUAGAGCUAUUACACCAGUAUUUCUAUUUAUCUUAAAAACUGGAUAAUUUCUGUCUGGGGUUUCUGUGAGGUUCCUUGUAAAUACUGGUAAGUUGCUAUUUUUUCUUUGGGUGGAAUAAAGAAUUUUUGGACAUUUUCUUUCUUUUUAAAAUUGAACAGUUAUUUUAUUUAUGCAUAUGAGUGUUUUGUCUGAACAUGUGUCUGUGUACCAUGAGGGUGCUUGAUGCCCAUGGAGGCCAGAAGAAGGUAUCCACUGGAGCUAGGGUUACAGAUAGUUGUGAAUAGCUUUGUGAGUAUGGGGAACCAAACCUGUACCCUAUGGAAGAACAGCCAGUGUUCUUAACUUUUGAGCUAUUCCUCCUACCUCUGAAAUUUUUCUAACGAUUAACAAUAUUUUGAGAAAUUUCUUGUUAAGGAAAUGUGUAGAUUUUCACAGUUUGGAAUUAUAAGUUAAAACUCCAUCAACUCUUUUCACAAACAUUAAGGACUUAUAACGUAUCUAAAAGUCCUAUCUGGGGUUAAAACAGUGUUUUACUGUUGCAAAUAAUCUGCGUGUUCUUGGAUGAAGGGGUUGUUCCUCAGUCAUAGACAUCGUCCACAAAAGUGACAGCAAACUGUUAAUUCCAGGAUUGCUGUCCUUGUUGAUGUGGGGGGGGGGUAGGAAUUGCCUGAUUGUAGAAAUCAAGCCACAUUUGAUAUCUAAAUAACCCAUAUAACACCCAUAUAAAGAAGGGCCAUACUGUCAGAGCAGUGAGGUCCCAACAAGGUAGAAGAAAAGGAUCACGGGGUUAUGUUUGUCAGAAUUUUUUUUCUUUUCUUUUUCUUUUUCUUUUUCUUUUUUUUUUUUUUGUAAAAUCUUAAGAUCUGGGUAAAACAGAAGGUUAAAUAAAAUGAAUGAUGCUACAGGGAUAAACAGAGAACAGAGCAGUUUAAAAUAUUAGAAAUGACCUUUUAACCCUCUUUCAUCUUAUACAGGACCCUUGCCCUCACCCUAUUGGAUUGCUUCAGGCAGCUGUCUGUUGUUCAGGUUCAUCUGUGUCCAGCUUGCGCUUCUCUACAGACAUGGGUACUUGUCUUUGCAUUGGUCCACAGUUGCCAAGCAUGUGUCUGUACGUUCACAUCACUUUUCAAAUAGGGUUUUGAAGACCCUUGCUGGAGAACUGAAUGCAGAGUU